rnacentral:rRNA from 1 species
AUUGAACGCUGGCGGCAGGCCUAACACAUGCAAGUCGAACGUGUGGCGGACGGGUGAGUAAUGUCUGGGAAACUGCUUGAUGGAGGGGGAUAACUACUGGAAACGGUAGCUAAUACCGCAUACCAUCGGAUGUGCCCAGAUGGGGUAAGCUAGUAGGUGGGGUAAAGGCGCACCUAGGCGACGAUCCCUAGCUGGUCUGAGAGGAUGACCAGCCAGACUGGAACUGAGCCACGGUCCAGACUCCAACGGGGGGCAGCAGUGGGGACUAUUGCAGAAUGAGCGCAAGCCUGAUACAGCCGUGCCGCGUGUAUGAAGAAGGCCUUCGGGUUGUAAAGUACUUUCAGCGGGGAGGCGUUACCCGCAGGAGAAGCACCGGCUAACUCCGUGCCAGCAGCCGCGGUAAUUC